GAACAAGGGAGUGUAAUCGGCACGCUGACGCAUUAAAGCAAUGAAGCAGUGAAGCUCCUGACCCUCACCCGCCGCCGCCACUACCGACAGAGAGCGAGCGGGAGGCGGCCACCACGUCUCAGACAAGUCUUCAUCCCCUAAUUUUAGAGGCGAGUCCUCGCGGUGGAAGGAACGUUUCGUCCGGCAGACUGGCGGGCGGCGAAAGGCGGAGGCUGUGAAUACUCCCCAAGUCCUGCAUCACUGCUGGAUGGGUGGGGACCCAGACGGCAGGAGCAGGGUGACGAGGGCACUUGGUCUCCAGAUGUAGUGGACCCGAUAACGAAGGUUGCCAGGAACUAUAUUUGCCGGGCGAAGCAAAGUCUCGGCAGUUCAUCCUGGUCAGGAAUAAUGCCAUUUUAGAGAAUUAGACGCUGACACUACGGUUGGCGCCGCCCUUCCCACUCACCCCUCCACCAUCCUGCACAGUGCCUACCUCCCCUCACCCUCCGUCCUACUGCCCUCAUCACUCACUGACCCCCACCCCUUCCCUGCCUUACCCCUUCAGACU